UACGGGGGGUGCGAGCGUUGUCCGGAAUCACUGGGCGUAAAGGGUGCGUAGGUGGUGGGGUAAGUCGGAUGUGAAAUCUCCGAGCUCAACUCGGAAAUUGCAUUGGAAACUACCCUGCUUGAGGGUCGGAGGGGGGACUGGAAUUCUCGGUGUAGCAGUGAAAUGCGUAGAUAUCGAGAGGAACACCAGUGGCGAAGGCGAGUCCCUGGACGACUCCUGACACUGAGGCACGAAAGCGUGGGGAGCAAACAGG
rnacentral:rRNA from 1 species